UGUUAGCAAUGUUAACAUACGUUAACACGAACGUCCACCGGUAAUGCGUUGUGACGUUUCUAUUCGAUGGCUUCGAAUUGAUCAUACUUUUUUUUAUGAAUUUAGAUAUAAUAUUAAUAUAUCCUAGCAAAAAAUAUACGUAAAUAAGAAAAAUAUAUAUUAGAAAACUGUAAGAAUUCGCGCAGUAGCUGCGACAUGUCAAUUCACUUGAAUAACGGAUACAAGUUCUCUUCGUUUCAUGUACUCUGAAAAUGGGCGAUUCCAUUGGCAUUUUUGCAGUUUCUUGUCAAAAUUAACGAGUGAAAGGAAGAACUGACCUCGGCUGCUUUGAGGAGUUGUGCAUAGUUGAACUCAGGACAUGCCUUCUCGUUCGACUCUGGCAGGGUAAGUGUAAAGCGGAAGGAGGGCGCGAGCUGUUUGCCCUUUUCCCCUUUUUUCUCCUUUUUUGUGGCGUAGCCCAAGGACUCCGGAAACUCCAAGGUCUGCAAAGGUACCCUUUUAGCUUCUGACAUUCCUACAUUUGCACCGAACUCAACGCGGAUUAUGGAAACACUGCGAACACUGCGGUAACAACAUGGUCCUCUCUCUUAAACACCGCACCGACACCGCCACUCGCACGUCGCCAUCUUCGGCUCGACUGUUUUUAGAGUGCGCUGUUGAUGCCGCCGCCACACCGUAAAUUUAACGCAUGCGUCUGAAAUGCAAGUAGUCUUAAGCUACGUUUUCAUUAAAGAAUCGCAAUAUUUUACGUGAAAACAAGUUCAAUCAUUUCAAUAAAUUGGAAAUUAAAACUAAUUAAUCAAUUUUAAUGUUAUUAUAAUAAUAAGCAAUUUUUACUAAAGUAUAAGAUAAUUUAAUCAUUUUCUAUAUGGAUUAUAUUUCUCUAUUAAUUAAAAUAAAGGUAUGAUAAUUGUAUAUAUCAUUUAUUAUAAAAUUUCAAUUACAAAUUGAUAAAUCGCAAUUACGUCUAUAUAAUCUAAUUAUACUAAAUUAUGACUACAAAUAUUAUUUAUCCUGUCUAUAAUAAACAUUUCGUUUCAUAAUUUACAUUCCAAUGCCUGCAAUAGUAAAAUCAUGUCAGUUAUAUAAAUUAUAAAAUAAUCAUAUUAGAUAUGAAUAGUCAAAGUAUCUGAAAUACAUAAUUUCUAAAUAAAAUAAUAAAAUUUAAAAAAAUGCUAAAUAUAAUUUUAAUUAACUUAUUUGAUUAAUAAUAUUUGGAUUAUUUUCAAUAUUUUCUUGUUUUUUUGCAAUUUUAAUUGCUGAAAAUUGCUGACCUAAAAGUUUCAUUACUGCAGCAUGUCCUAUAUUACGUUCUUUUUUUACAGAAUUAUAGUUUUCUUUUACAUAAAGUGCAAAUGCUGAAGGUUCUCUUUUUGGUGUUUGCAUUUGUACAGUUCCAGAUUUUGUUGUUUUAUUUAAUAAUAACUCAAAUUUUCCAUAACAAUGUCCACAUCGUUUCUUUUCAAUAUCCAGAGAUUUGGAAUGUCUUCCAAUACUAUAAUAAAGUUUAAAAAAUUAAAUUAAUAUAUAUUUUAAAGUUGUUUACACACACAUACAUAUUUCAAAGCAUAAUUAUAUACAAAUUAUUGUACCUGUAUCCACAACUUAUACAUUUAUAUGUAAAUUUAGUCUUAAUUUUGUAAUCAUGACACCUUCUUAUUGGUGGUAAUUCAGGAAAUAUUUUCAUAGCUUUACUAGCCCUAAAAUACUACUAAUUAAAGUAAUUGUUAAAUAAAUACAAAAAUAAUAAAUACUUAAAAUAAUAUACCAUUUUGUCCAAAAUGGACCAUGUCCAUCAGAGAUUCCAUUUAUUAACCAUGCAGCUGCAUGACACAUUUCAUGAAUUAAAGUAUCUCUAAGUCUAUCUGGAGUAUCUAAAAUCUAUAUAUAAUUUUUUUAAUGCAUAUUUCAGUAAUUGUGUUUAAAAAAUAUAUAAAUAUACCUUUGUUGCUAGAACUAUUCGUGAUGAUUUUACAAUACCACCGAGUGUUUUUACUGAUUUCUUAUUAUAACAAAAACCAGCAGUUCCUCUCAUACGAACAUUCCAUUCUAUUGACAUAUCUUCUGGUAAUUCAUUAUCAAAUACUUUGUCAUUAUAUAGUUUGUACAAAUAUUUACAUAAAUUUUCCUUAUUAUUUUUAUAAUCUAAUCUAUAUUUUUUAGCAUCUGGAUGUAUAUUAGUAAGAGGAAUAUUUUCACUCAAAGAUGCUAAGAAGCUGUUAUGUUUUUUAUAGUUUGGAUUGUCAGAAAUUAAUUUAUUUUGUGUCUUUAAUUUAGGUAUAGUUUUAAUAAAAUCUAAAAAUAUACAUACAAUCUAGUAUAUAAAUCUUCAUAUAAUCUAUGCAUAUAAUAUCUAUGUAUUAUAUUUGUUAUAUAUACCUUUCUUAAUUGUAGAUUUUGGUGGUAUUUCAUCACCAGGGUCAAAUUCACUAGUGCUUGAAUCUUCACUUUCAUUAUUGAAUAACUUCCUUCCUCUUAUAUUAAAUAUUUGAUUACUGUUAUCUAUAUUAUCAUUAUCUUCAGAAUCUGUAUCACAUAUUUCAAUAGCUCUGAAAAAUAAAAUAAAAUAAAAUAAUUAUUAAAAA